rnacentral:misc_RNA from 1 species
CAUGCAUGUUAUGAGUAAACUGAAAUAAUGACAAAUUAGCUAAGUAGGGAAAGCAGGCCAGCAAAAAUUCACCAAGGAUUGUUAGGUCAGUACAAAGUCGGCACAAUCAAGACACGGUUUGCCCUCUGUGCGGCCAUGCCUAAUAUUCAUUCAAGGUUUGACAUCAUAAGCAAGGUUUGCUACUUUAUAGUAAAAACAAUGUCCAUGAAGUCAUUGUAAAAAUAACCUUUUGUCAUGCUCAGAAUAUGAAUUUUUUUUUUCAAGCAUAUGCAACCAGUUGAACUUCUCGAGGUUAAUGAACAUAAUCUGAUUUUUCAAUCACAAGAAGAAUAAUCUACGAAUAAAUUCUCCUGUACAUUGCACCAAUUUAAGCCCCUGAAGAUGGAAUAAAGUCCAUCAGCCUACAUCUCAUGAAAUCUUCUUUCAAUUAUAACUCUAUCUCGCAUUUGAAAGAGGGCCUAUAAACUUGUGAAAUGACCUGCCAGUGAAACUCAUAGCAUGGAUGCUCUGCAUCUUGAUUCCAACCUACCACAUUGAAGGUACAUAGACCUGUUCUUUCAAAUUUUGAGUUGCACUUUCAGUAGGAAAACCUCUAACUGCACCAAUUGUCCAUUGUGAUAUAAUUCCUGCUGCAACUGCAAAACGAAGCUCCCUCUCCAAAACAUCUUGAUUUUCAAACAUCUCAGGGCUAGUAGUAAGCUUUCGCAUGAUAGCAGCCACAACAGCAUCACCAGAUCCAGUCCUAUCACAUGUGAAUGGUGUAAUGAGCACAUCUUCUGUUCCCACCACAACACCAUCAAACAAAGUUGAGUAGUAAUGAAUCCUAAGUGUUCCAUCAGUCACGAACAAAAACUUAAGUCCAUCAUGCCAUAGUGGAGAGAUUUCCUCGGGUGUAUAAUGAUAAUAAUUUCGCCAUUUCUUUGUUUGUUCAUAAUUUUCAGCAUAAUAUUGAGGCCUGUAAUUCCUUUUCCUCUCGUAAUAAUCUUCGUCUAGGAGAAAUUCUAGCUCUUUCCUUGAAACCUCAAUAAAGUCUGCUUCAUUCCAAGCUUUCUUGAUUACUUCCCUCGUCUCAUCACGUGACCUCCACAAAGGCAGUGGCAAAUUAAUAUCAAAAAAUAUAAGCCCUCCAAAUUUCUUAGAUAAUUUGAUUGCACUAAAUAGAGAUGAUUGCAUGGAAGUAGAUGUUAGAGCUUCUGAAUUGAAGUGGAAAAUCCUAGCCUCUUUGAGCACUGCAAGGUUCAAUUCAGAGGCAAGAAGGGAAUCCUCAGCAGCUUCCUUCACCAUCUCCAUCUUCAUCUUACCACCCUCAAAUUUGACCUUCAUAAAACUACAAGCCGUUUUCACAUUCUCAUCAAACUUCACAGCCCGUGUUUGAACUCUUUCCUUAUUCAUCAUCAACACCAGCUCCUCCCCAAAAUCAUCGUCCCCAACUUUCCCCAUGAAGGCCGCCCUGCCUCCCAGCCUCACGUGAGAUAUCGCCACGUUGGAGGGUGACCCACCUGGGGCCCUCGCGAACUCCGGCGGGUCCCACUGCAGCAUUUUCCAUUGCGAAUACAUAUCCGGGUGCAUCUGAUUGUCAUGCACCCUCACCGUAGGCACAAAUUCUUUCUGCGCGGCACCAAAGCAGCAUAUCAACGGCGGGUAAUCAUACGGGAAAUCCAUACCAUCAUCGUAGUCUUCUAUGUCUUCGUUUAAUUCCGCUACUGCUACUUGCUUAGCCGGAUUUGAAUCAACUGCGCCAUUUUCGGCAUCGAUUUUCUUCGAGCGUUUACUUCUUUUGGUUGUUGUUGGAGUGGCAGCUGAAGAGGGUUUCUUUUUGCGGCCUCGACGAGAGGUUUUUGGGGAUUCAAUGGCUCCGUUGGUAGAGUCGCCAACCGUGGAUGCUUUGGGUGGGUGUAGCUGAUAACGAAGCUUGAAAAGCUUUCCAAGAGGAGAAGGCCUUCGAGAGUAUGGAAAUUGCGUGGUUGUAUCGUUAGGGUUUAAGACAAGCAAGCGUGAAUAGUGAAGGUGUAGAAGAAAAGUAGCCUCAAAUUGAAGGGUUUGUCUCUGAAACUAUAUCGGGUCGUGUAACAAAUCGGAUCGGGUUACCCCAGGAUAUUUUGAUCCGUUGCAUCAAAAGAAUCUUGGUUUGGACUUGGCGUAGUCCAAUCAGAAAGAAAGAGCUAAAAGGAUACGGAGAUCCAACGUUCUCACUGCAACAGAAACCUUUCUUCUUUGCAUCUGUCGUUGACUCGUUCGCUCUUGGGAAGGUUCCUGAGGAGCUUCAUCUAAAUUGAUUACUGCUUCUCGUCUCUGGUGAGAACUCUUAUCAUCUCUUUUUUUCUUUGAUUACUUUCUACUUUACCCAGAUAAUAACAUCACAAAUUGAAUGACGAAGGCAAAAGUUUGUGUUUUGAUUCUGCCCAUUCAAGACUCAUAAGCAAGGCAGCCAGUAAUUUUUUAUUCUGUUCAAGUUUAGUUUGGUAUUGAACUGCAAUUUUGUUGGUAUGAGUAUUGUUAACUGGGUGGCAUGAUGGAAUCUCGAAAAGUGUGUGUGAGUUCUUUUGUUCAUUGAUCAUUAUAGCAGAAAUCAUGCUUGUACUAAAACUAUUCAGGUUCUCUCAGUUGUCUUAGCUGGCUGCUGUUGAUUUGAUAUGGGAUUGAGAUUUUAUGGAAGAAUCAGCUCAGAGAUCAUUCAUCUUUCUCUUAACUUGAUUGUUGAUUGAGAUUCUACUUGCUGUUGUGUGAAUUAUGUUACCCUUCUUCUUGUUGCUUCCUUCAAAUUAUAGACCUUUACCUUCAAUUAUGCUACCUUGACUUUAUGGUGUUUAACAAUUAAAAGAUACUGAUACAAGCAUGUCAGUUUGGUUCUUGAUGUGAUGCUGUUGACUAGAAUCAAAUGAUAAUGUUGUCUCCUUACCAAGCAUGUCUUUUAAUUCGUCAUUGUCUAGUUACUGACUCAAUUUUUCAUUUUGAGCUCCCUUUCUGCAAAAUAUAUGCAUGAAAAAGUGCCCUUCUUUUUUAGAUUAAUUUGUGUUUGUUCUGAAACAGAGCUGUGUGAAGUUUCUUUGUUGCAGAAAAUGGGUUUCUGGACUUUCCUGGAAGGUCUCCUGCUUUUUGCAAAUGCAUUAGCAAUACUGAAUGAAGACAGGUUUCUUGCUCCAAGGGGAUGGACACUGGCAGAACUCCAAGGAAGCAAAAGAAAUUCGAUUAAGGGGCAGAUCAUUGGACUCAUACAUGCUUGCCAGUUCAUGAGACUACCACUUAUAAUGCUAAACACUAUCUUUAUCAUAGUGAAGCUAUUCUCCGGGUGAGGUCGAGCAGGACAAUGGCUCAUGGCUUGGCAUAUGCAUUAAUCCAUGAACAUCGAAAAUUUCCAGGACUGUCGACUGCUUUGAGUUUCUGUAUAGUUACUGCUGGGUUGAGGCCCAAAAUAAAAUGAGAGUAAAAGAAGUCAUUGUUCAAACGCUCAGCGAGCUCAUCUAACAUCUAGAGCUAUGUUAUUUUAUCGUUAUCACAUGAAUUUCUUUCUUUGCUGAUCUUUUUUUU